GGGCAAAGUCAUCCCGGCGGGCUCAUAACCCGCAGAUCAGUAGUUCAAAUCUACU
rnacentral:tRNA from 1 species